rnacentral:rRNA from 1 species
GAUGAACGCUAGCGGCAGGCUUAAUACAUGCAAGUCGAGGGGCAACAGGGGUAGCAAUACCUGCUGGCGACCGGCAAACAGGUGCGGAACACGUACAGAACCUUCCUUUAAGCGGGGGAUAGCCCAUAGAAAUGUGGAUUAAUACCCCAUAGUAAUGUUUAAUGGCAUCAUUAGAUAUUUAAAGAUUUAUCACUUAAGAUGGCUGUGCGGCUGAUUAGGUAGUUGGUCGGGGUAACGGCCCACCAAGCCAUCGAUCAGUAACUGGUGUGAGAGCACGACCAGUCACACGGGCACUGAGACACGGGCCCGACUCCUACGGGAGGCAGCAGUAAGGAAUAUUGGUCAAUGGACGCAAGUCUAGAACCCAGCCAUGCCGCGUGAAGGAUGAAGGCCCUCUGGGUUGUAAACUGUCUUUUAUCGUAGGGAACGAAAAGGGUCUUUAUAGCUCACUUGACGGUACCAGAGG